rnacentral:pre_miRNA from 1 species
UGGAUAGAUUAUUGACUGUAUUCGACUGUAUUCACGGAGUGAAAUGGGGUAUUACACUGUUUUAAAAUGGAAAGUGAAUCAAUUAACAUAAUAGACUUCU